UACGUAGGGCGCAAGCGUUGUCCGGAUUCACUGGGUGUAAAGCGUCCGCAGGUGGUUUUGUAAGUCUGCUGUUAAAGCGUUAGGCUCAACCUAAUAAGGGCAGUGGAAACUAUGAGACUAGAGUAUGUUAGGGGUAGAGGGAAUUCCCAGUGUAGCGGUGAAAUGCGUAGAGAUUGGGAAGAACACCGGUGGCGAAAGCGCUCUGCUAGGACAAUACUGACACUGAGGGACGAAAGCUAGGGGAGCGAAUGGG
rnacentral:rRNA from 1 species